rnacentral:tRNA from 1 species
AUCUAAAUAGUUUAAUUAAAAUGUUGAUUUGUGGUGUCAGCGAUGGGGUUAGGAUUGCUUCUUUGGAUU